rnacentral:lncRNA from 1 species
AAUGUUUGGCCAGCUUGCUCACUGAUUUCUGUGCUUUGCCAAACACUGAAAGCCAAAACAGUGCUCCAGAAAAACACCCAGAGAGUGUUUUUGUUCCUCUUAGUGCUGCUUUCCAGUGGCUCACCACCUUCUCCCUGGAGAGGGAAGAGUAAAACAGACCAUGCAUACUGCAUUUUUCUUGUCCUUGACUGUCCUCCAAGGUUCCCUUCUUUGAUCACCAACAGCAGAAGCAGAUGGAUAAUCAAAUGUUGCAAGAGCAGAAGCCUGCUGAAUAGCACUCCUUGGUUCUUAGAUUAUGUAAUGGUUCCUGCUGUAGUUCUUAUUUUCACGUAUGUAAGAAUCUAUUAUAAUCAUGAAAAAGCUUCCUAGUUUGGCCUCAUAUCCAAGAUGAAUUUCUUUUUUUUUUUUUUUUUUUUUUUUUUUUUUUUUUUCCCUAGUACAAAGAAAAGCAUUCUGUAAGAGAAACUAAACAACCACAGUUCUUUGAUUGGAGGUAAUAUACUUACAACUUUACCUGGGUACCUUUCAGCUGAGAUGAAAGAAAAUUAGAAGGUAAAAUUUGUCAUGGAGAAGUCCAAUCUGUAUUAAUUUCUCAAGCAGAUUUUUACAAGGACUUAAAGCUUGUUUGCAGUAAAAAAUGAAAAAAGAGAAAAAAAGGAGAUGAACUCAAUUAAUCAAGCAAAUUAUUAGACACAUACAUUCAGCUAGGAAUAAUAUUUUUUAAAAGCAGCAAUGUUAAUGAAGUCUUUCAGAUUUGUCCUUCUCACAGGGCAGCUACAUUAGCUCAAGACCAAAUUCUGGUAUCAAUUUUGGCUUUGCAGAUAUACCGUUUAAUUACUGUCUGAGAAUAUUAAUAUAAAAUUAGGAUUUAUUCACAUGUAGUGUGUUCUACUU